AUUAUGUUUCUAAACAGUUUCAAGAGUUGUGUGCAUUUGCCUCCUAUAACGGUUGCACAUAUGCAUUACUGUUGUAGAUGUCCUAUGUAUGUCCUAAAUGGAAGGCUAAAUAUUUUGGAAGGUUUAAGAUAUAAAAGGUCCUCAGGGGAGCCUGACAGGAGAGGGUCUUGGCAUAUUCAAAGAACAAGAAGAUUUGAAUCUGUAAAACCUAGAGAAGUCAUCACAGGAAAGGACAACAAUAACAGAGUAAAUGCCACUUAUGGCUGGCGCUAUUUUGAACUUCUAUUGUUUUCAUUAUCCUGAGUUGAACCUGGGGCCUUGCAUUUGUGAGGCCAGCACUAUAUUGCUUGAGCCACACUCCCAGCCCCCUUUUAAAGUCUGACACUAAGCUUGUGAUCCCCCUGCCUCAGCCUCAGAAGUAGUUCGGAUUACAGUUGUGCAUCCUCAUCAUGCCUGGCAGGCGCUCACUUUUAUCCAAUAGUUCUGUGGAUGUGAUCAAUGAAUCGGAGAGCACGGAGAAGUCAUCCAGCUGAUCCUCUUACUGAUGAGUCUUAGCACCACGGAGAACAGCUGGGGAAGGACUUUAACAUUGGAGUCCUGCAGAGCCACGGGACAUGGAGGACUAUAUGCACAAGGUGACCACACAGGAAGCAUGGCUAGCAAAGCCAUCAACUUUCCCAGAUAGGAAUAGAAGUAUCUUUAGAAGAGGAUCUGUAAGUGCUUACUAGGAUGAAAAAAGCAUGCUUUCCCUAGAAUCUAUAGCAACAAACAAGAUGCACUCUAUAAAAACCCAAAGAGUUUACCAGUAUCAUUUUAAAUGAGUAUCAGAAACCCACCUAAAUCUGAGGCAGGAGCAUACUUGGCACCCACCUACCCAUGGCCAAGGUACUAGGCUGUCAUUUCAUCUAAUGAGACAAUCUAUAACCCUCCAGGACCUUACCCAGGAGACUCCAUUCAUUCUGCUCCAUAAGGAGUAUGGGGCAGUCUUGUAACAGUGACUAAAGUCACCAUUUCAGUGUCUGGAAUCUGCCAACAGGAGAAAACACAGAUAAACACCACAGCCUUCUGCUGAUAACACUAGGAAGCAAUUCAAGUUUAAAGGCGCCGACUUGCUUCUUAUUGUGAGCCAGGCAGAGGACAGAGGAGCAGAAGAAUAGAGAGUGCUUGGUUCUCUGUUUCUAGAAUAGACGCUGGGGUCCCAUGGGACCCCAGUCUCUAUUUUAAUAAGCAUCAUGUUCGUGAGUCAGUAUGAACAGGCUUGAGUAUCCACUGAGAGCAUUCGUCAGUGUCUUUCUUGCUGGGCUGGCGUGCCUGGAGUAGAGGCUGGACCAUACAGAUUGUUGUCAGGGAAACACAAGAUGCCCAGGUUGGACCACGGUAGUUGCUGUCAGGGCUUUCCACAGCCGGUUGCUGUGCUAUCUGCUCAACUUUUCUCCACACCUCAUGCAACAAGAUGCAUUUGCCUAAAAUAACGAAUGACAGUGGACCAGGCCAUCAUAUGUAUGGGUAAAAGUAACAAGGACAGUUCUGAGUAGGUGAGGACACCAGUCGAAUGCCAAAGGAGAAGACCUGAUGCUGAUGCUGACUCUGGAUGGAUAGAUGAACUGAAGCCCCUGAUUUACAGGCUUUUAACAAUAGGGGGCGAUAGGAGCCCAUGUUGCCUGUAGUCUUUGUUCUGCUUGCUAAAACUUACACCCCUUUCUGGCUCCCAGAGGCAGUUCCCAAGUAUGCAAGGGCUGUUACCCAUGCCUUGCCUAGCUCUUCAGUGAGUUAAACAGAGCCAGUUUCAUCUGGCCAGUGAAACUGCAAGACACUCCAUGAAGAUGACUGUUCCCACAUCCUGAGAGCAUAGCCCAGCCUUCUCAUAGUAGCCCCGAGCAAGGCUGUAGCAAGACAUAUUAAUGCCUCUGGACUCUGAAAUGUUUCCCGAUGCUUUCUUGCUUCCACCUCUCCCUGAAGAUGACCUGUGUGUUGCACAGUUUGCAUUAGGCUCCUGAAGACAGAAAUGUACCUGGAAGUUGAUUUAGCUCACCCUUUCGCUUGCCCAACCCGUUUCUUCUCCCUGCUCAUUUCCCAGGGGAUGCAAUUGUUGUCUGAAUCUUGCAUCUAUCUGGGGUGAGAGGGAAGGCACUCUGGAUCACAAAAUAAUGUGAUUGUUGGCUAGAAGUACAGGUGGGACAUGGUCACAUUAAGUCAUCUGCACCUUGAGUAUUGAAUUCUGAACAUUUUCAGGAAAUGCACGAGAAGGUGUAAGAACUACAUGUUAAAGAAAGUACUAUAUUUGAUGGCUUCGUGGCUAUGCUCUUGGGGAAAGACAUCACAUAUGAAGCCUCUCGCUCCAUCCCUCUUGACAGUAUCCUGUGAACCGCUAAUAUUUCAAAGAACAAAAGCUUUAAGAGAAGAAUCAACUCC
ensembl:lncRNA